rnacentral:rRNA from 1 species
GAUGAACGCUGGCGGCGUGCCUAAUACAUGCAAGUCGAACGCGCAGCGAAAGGUGCUUGCACCUUUCAAGCGAGUGGCGAACGGGUGAGUAACACGUGAAUAACCUGCCUCAAGGCUGGGGAUAACAUUUGGAAACAAAUGCUAAUACCGAAUAAAACUUAGUAUCGCAUGAUACAAAGUUAAAAGGCGCUACGGCGUCACCUAAAGAUGGAUCCGCGGUGCAUUAUUUAGUUGGGGGGGUAAAGGCUUACCAAGACAAUGAUGCAUAGCCAAGUUGAGAGACUGAUCGGCCACAUUGGGACUGAAACACGGCCCAAACUCCUACGGGAGGCUGCAGUAGGGAAUCUUCCACAAUGGGCGCAAGCCUGAUGGAGCAACGCCGCGUGUGUGAUGAAGGCUUUCGGGUCGUAAAGCACUGUUGUAUGGAAAGAAAUGCUAGAAUAGGGAAUGAUUUUAGUUUGACGGUACCAUACCAAAAAGGGACGGCUAAAUACGUG